GGGCUGGGUGUGGGCAGUACCCUGGAGCAAGAGGAGCUGCAGCAAGGAGCAGAGGGCUGAGGAGAGGAAGAGAGGGGCUGUGACUGCUGCAGGUCACAUCCUCAUCCCACAGCUCUCGGAGCCCUUCUCCAUCCUCGCCUGGGCGCAGGUGAGCUGCUCCUGACACGGGCUGUGCGGCCAGCCACAAGGAAAUGAGUCUUGAUGUCCAUCUGAAACGUGCUGCAUGCUGGGUUUUGUGCCAUCCCAACCACGGCGGGGUUAAUUUCAUCAGAAACUAAACCCUGCCCACCUUUAAGCUGGGGAGAAAACAGGAUUUGGUCCCACACUAAUUGUACUGAAGGCUGAGUGACUUUUUUCACUCUCUUCCCAUUGCUUGGUUAAAUCCAGCUGCUCCCUAAGCAUGCAGGAAACGUCCCCCAAAUACCACAGCCUGCAGGGAGGCACUGGAGGCCAAAACAAGGUAACAAAGCUGAAUAAGAGCAAUUGGAGAGGAAAUCGCUGCGAUGGGGCUGCCAAAGAAUGGAGAAGCUCCAGCUCCUGCCGUGGGACCCCCCCCCCGCACAGGUAGGCAGAUGUCAGCUGAGAUGGAAAUCAGCAUUUCAUGGAGCUGAAGGUCACCCUUGGGCCAGCUGCAGAGGGACAGAGAGCAGCCACCGUCGUCACCAUGGUGCUGGAAAUGUCAUGUCCAGCCUGAGCAUCAGUUUUGCUUUCCUACUGUGUGUUGUGCUACAGAAGGCUUUGUUGGCAAACGGACUUCAUGGGAAGUUUAUCUCCCUGCUGCUGACUUUGUGCAAAACAGAACAAAAAAAAGAGCAAAGAAAGAAAGUGAUAAUAAAAAGAAUCCAGCAUAAAUUCCCAGGAGGAAGCAGGAGGGCAAAUUUAGAAAUAAAAUAAACCAAACAACCCAUCAGCCCCAGCUUGACAAUGAAGAGAAGUGCUGUGGGCUGAGCAAUACUUGUUUGAAGUUUGCACCGUUAUCAGAGGGACGUGCCCCACAUUUACAACGCUCUCUGAAACGUAUCAGGGCUUGUGCAGCAUAAUGGGAGCAUGGUGGGGGUGGGUCAGCCCCUCCUUCAAGGCCAGGAGGGCCAAAAUGAAGACUGGCAUGAGACACUGCAGAUUGUCACCCUGCACGGGAGGGACCUUGGACCAGUUCGUGUUCAUACCAACUUGUCAGGGUGGUUGCUGUGCUCAUUAAUGGGGCCCAGAGGUGUCUGUGCCUCUCCUGUCUAAUUGCAAAGGUGAAAGGGCCAUUUCACAACAGGGGAAGCUGAGGCACGGAGAGGCCAGCCUGCCCCAAGUUACCUUUUUGCCCUGAAAGCAAACGCGCUCCCUCUCUGCCGCGCACAUCCUCCGUGCUGCCGCCGCUCUCUGUUCAGAGGCAGCGCUGCCUUUCCCAAGCCCGGAUCUCCUGCAGCCUUCGGGAUUCAGCACACCUCGCUCCUGACCUGCCACAGGCUCCUUUAUUCCGUGCCGGGCUCCCCAGGUGGAUUUGCCGACACAGCUCAUUCCUGCCCUGCAAGACCUCUGCUAUUUCAGACCUGCUGCCUGCAGCUCCCCCAGGUUUCUCUCCCUCAUCCUUCCUGCAGCUGCUGUCAGCUGUGCAGACCGUGUGGAGCUUCAGCAACGUGGCCAGGGAGCCACUUGGUUCACCUUCAGCAUCUGCUUGCUCUGUAGUGCGAGGCAGGAAGGGUCACUUGCCCAUGGAAAAUGACCUGCAAGAAAAGCAAGGUUUUAAAGAGGGCUUGUGUGUGAGCUGGGCUUGCUUCUGGCACUCUAAAUUGGGCCCCUCCAUCCUGUCCUUCCUGAAUACCCCUUGGCUUUCUGGUGAGUUGUCUCCCUCAUCCAGAGGUGGGUGGGAGCUGCAUUGCAAUGGAGCAGGUCUGGAUGUGGAGCUCCUCCAGUCUUUGCUGGAAGCAGGAGCAGCAGGAGCAUCUUCUGAUUGAAAGGGAGAGUUUGCCACAGAAAUGUGUCCAUCUCCUGGUGCUCCAUCUCCAGCAGUGAUCAGUAACGAUGCUUCAGACUGAAGGAAGAAUUCUGCUGCAGCAGGCAGAGUCUAAAGUACAUUUCCCACAGCCCUGGUGUAUCCAGCAGCCCGUCCCACAAAAACCAGACUUUCCUCUCCUCUGCUUGCUCAGUGCCCAGAGGGUAGCCAAGGUCUGCGAUGCAGCGUGGCUCUGGGUGAUGUUCAAGCCAUCCAAAGGAGAUGGGCUUGGGACCAUCUGUGUCUCUGGGACGAUGCCUUCACUAUCUGCAAGUGGAAAGGACUGCCCAAGAUACCCUGUUCCCUUCCUCUGAAAGCUCUUCCCACCGAUUCUGACCUCAGCAACAAAAUCUCCAAAGCCAGAAGGGUCACGGCAGGCUUCAGAGACCCUGCUCAGAGCUGCUUUUACUCUUCAGGGACAGCACAGAUGGACCAUGGUGUGGUCAGCAAAGCCAGCAGCCGAGCUCCAGCCACGCACAGCAAAGAUCUUUAUUCAGCUCCCUGCCACGAUCCAAAUAAACCCCGGGAGGAUGAGCCAUCGAUGUGAACCUCCAGGUGUGGGGAGGUGAAAGGACAGCAAGACGUCUGACCACUGAGGAGGUGCUGACAGAAACACCUUGGAGUGCCAGACACCUCGUUAGCCAGUAUAUAUUGUGCUGGUGAUUCACACGUUUGUGUUUCCACUGUGAAAUACUGUCCCCAGUAGAGGGAAAAGAUUAAACCAGAGAAAGAACCUUCAAGAGCCUUUUCUCCUUCCACCCUCACCUUCCUAAUUAUUUUAAAUGUACAAAGGGUUUGUCAUAAGCUGUUUAAUCUCUCUUUCUCAGUUUUUCUUUUUAAUAAUCCCAGGGCCUGGGGUUCUUCUCAGCAUCCCUCCUCAGAUCCACCUCAUCCUCCUGUUGGCAGCAUGAAACCGAAAAUUUUUCCCCCCCCUAUUUACUUCUUCUCACAAAAGCCUAAGAAAAAGACAUCAAAAAAUCUUUCCUUUAAGCUGCCACUUUAACAGAUAUAUGUGAAAGUGGAAUUUAUUUAUUUUUUGAUUAAUCCCCUAGCCCCAGUGACCUGAGUCUCUGCCCACCUGGCUGUUGGUGUUUUACAGAUGGGGAGCCCUGAAGCAUUGAGUGACCCACCCCAGACAUCCAGUGGGUUUGUUGGUCUUGGACUGGAGAUCUCUCUGGGGAACAAAACAAAACAAGAAACCAAAGGUCUGUGACCAAGCAGGGAAGGGACCGAGGUGUUCCAAGGUUGGGAUGUUGCAACAGGACAAGGGCUAACGGCUUUAAACUGAAAGAGGGUCAAUUUAGAUUACAUAUGAGGAAGGAAUUUUUUACAGUGAGGGUGGGGAGGCC